CUAAGGGAGCGGGAGGAAGGUUGGGUGGCCAGCUGCUGCAUCCGUGGAGUAAGCAGCCAAGGUUCGAAUCCUGUUAGGCGCAUCUUCACUAGAGUGGAAAGUGGUCCGGCCGAGGUAAACCCGGUGCCUAGCGUUCUAGGGGGCUACUCUAUUCUUUGGCCCCUAUUAGAAAAAAAAAAGUACUGAGUCCAUUAGCAAUGUUGACUGUGAUCCAAUUAAAACUGUAGGUUCUGUGUAAACUACCCUCAGCUUUAUUUUAGAUUCGGUGGACAUCAGCAACCAGCUGGGGAGUGCUAAUAGCAACUAGAAACCUUAUCCUGAACAUAUUUUCUGCCAUAUAUACCGUGGCACAACCUGCAGUAACAUUCUGAUUUAAGUGAAUGACUGGAGGAUUAUUUAAUAGUGUCUGCUUCUUCUAUCUCUUUGGUGCUGCUGUAGGAUGUCUAAUUUUCUAGUACGUAUUCCAUGAGUUAUGGCUUGCCUCAAACAGCGAAGCAUGAUCCUAGCUGUAUAUGGAUUAGAAAAGGAAUGUUAUAAAGAAAAGGUAGCACUGAAGAUUCUCAAAAUUUCCCACUUAACUACACAAGAUGGCAAGAACGGCACCGUGCAAUUCAGUGCACUUCAAACUAUUACAUCUCGACUCAGAUUUUUUGAAGAUAUUGAUUUAAAGUAUGCAUAACAUUGUCUAUAUUUCAAUAUUUUAUUUAGGAUAAAAUGCAAAUUUCAACUUCAUUUCAGAUGCUCCUAUUUUGGUUAUAAUGGGUCGAAUUUCUUCAAAUUAUCGAGUUUGCAUUGAUCAUACAUAGUCGUGAACUUCAUGUUGGAGCAUUGCAUAUCAUUUAUGUCGUUGCUUCGUUUUCUAACACCGUAUAGGAACACUCUAAAUAGGAGUAGCGUAUUCAAAUGGAAAGUAAAUAGAAUAAAUUGAUUAUCUGUCAAAACUAUCAUUGAAAGGGUAUUUCAUCGAAAGAAACAUAAAUGAUUGACAUGAGAACAAGAAAUGAUCAAGUCUCAAUGCUUGCUUAAAAGCACUGCAGCUGGGGCUCCUAUCUUUGAACUGUAAGGACUUUGAAGACACCAGUUAAAAUCCAUAUCAUAAUUUAGUCAACGGUGACAUGGUGCGAGUUUUGUUUGCUAUUUUAUUUUUCUCUUUCUCUAGUUCCUUCUCUUUGUUAUUCUAUAUUUUUAUAAGAUUGUAAUAUAGUAUAAUAUCAAUGAACUUUAGGGGAUAAGUGAAUAAACAGUUGAAUUUAGAUAAAUAAAAUAUUUAGUUGUACAUUAGUAAUAAUUUGCACCCGCAGCCAAUUUAAGCUGUCCAAAGUGCAAUGUGUGUCUAGGAUUAACCAGGCACUGCUGCCACUUUUAGGGCAUUUUUUCCUUUCUUCUUCUUUACCAAGCAUUAGUGAGCUUUGGAAUUUUUUUUAUUUUUAACCCUUUUUUAACUAAUAUUUAAAAAUAACUCACCCAAACAAAUAUUUGCAGAUAUGACCCUUUUGGUCACGCCGGUCCGCGUGGCGCGACAAGAACACUCUGUCGCGCCACAUGCAAUGGCAUGACAAGGUGUGCCACGUCGGAGAGCGUGGAAGGGAUCUGCCAGCGCAUAAUCUAUUUGGAAAGCUUGUCACGCCACUCCUGCCGGCGUGACAACACACUCUUGUCACGCCACCCGGAGUGGUGUGACAAGGUCUGACUUUAAAAAAAGCAUAACUUUUUCAUACGAACUUGGAUGAAGAUGAUUUUUAUAUGAAAAUUGUAGCUCUCGACGAGAUCUACAACUUUGUAAUUUUAAGUUUUUUAUUUAAAGUCAUUAAGAUACAUUAAUAAUUGAUCUAAACUUUAGACAACAUAUUGAGCGUCUGAUCCUGUUUUCGGUCAUCUCCAACUUAGCUUGGUUCAUCAUGGUUCCACCAAAUAAGUUCUAUACAAUACAUUAUCUAUGAAAUUAUAGGAAAUAGAUAAAGUUAAUAUGUCAAAAACUACUACAACUAAAAUGAAAGAUAUAUAGUUAUCAAAUAUGAAACAUAUAUAAAUAAAGAUAACAGAACUCAAACUUCGCUUUAUUUAUAUACCUGGUUUGAAGCAGAAGCCUUUAUAGGAGUUGUAGAGUAAACUUUAGAUCACAACUUUGUUAAUUUGAGUUUGGGCCAAUCCACCCUGGAACAUUUUCAAAUUCGAGCUCAAAGUAAGCACCAACCUAAAUGCAGCACACAGCUCUAAGUUUCAAAAACAGUGAAUGUCUUCCAUUUUGGCAUGUGAAUUUCUACAAAAUUCAAAACUAAACUGGAUCUAACCUUUUAUAAGAGUUUUAGUAUGAAGUGUGUACUAUAAUAUUUCCCAUUUGACCCUGGUCUAAAUCGGAGCGGAGCCAUUUCAAAACUUGAGUUAAAGUUCGGCUAAAAUAUUAAAAACAGCUCCAUUUCAAAUCCUGCUAAAGGGGUGUUUGGGAGGAGGGGGCUAAAUUUUAGCCCCCGUCACAUCGAAUGUUUGGACACUAAUUAGGAGUAUUAAACCUAGACUAAUUACAAAACUAAUUACACAACCUCUAGGCUAAAUCACGAGAUGAAUCUAUUAAGCCUAAUUAGUCCAUGAUUUGACAAUGUGGUGCUACAGUAACCAUUCGCUAAUGAUGGAUUAAUUAGGCUUAAUAGAUUCGUCUCGUGAUUUAGCCUAGGGGUUCUGCAAUUAGUUUUGUAAUUAGCUUAUGUUUAGUCCUUCUAAUUAGUAUCCGAACAUCUGAUGUGAUAGGGCUAAAGUUUAGCCCCUGGUAUCCAAACACCCCGUAAGUCUAUGAAACCCGCGUUCCCGAGUAUUUUGAACUCGUAUAAGUUCAAUUUGAGAACAAAAUUGCAUACAUCGUCAAAUCCUGUGCAGCCUCUGCCUAGUCAACGAUCUUUGGUAAUUUCGUUCUCAAAUUGAAGUUAUACGAGUUCAAAAUACUCGGUAACGCGGGUUUCAGAGACUUAGCAGGAUUAGAAAUGGAGUUGUUUUUAAUAUUUUAGCUGAACUUUAACUCAAGUUUUGAAAUGGCUCAGCUCCGGGGUCAAAUGGGAAAUAUUGUAGUACACACUUCAUACUAAAAAUCUUAUAAAAAGUUUACAUCCAGUUUAGUUUUGAAUUUUGUAGAAAUCACAUGCCAAAAUGGAAGACAUUCACUGUUUUUGAAACUUAGAGCUGUGUGCUGCAUUUAAGCUGGUGCUUACUUUGAGCUCGAAUUUGAAAAUGUUCCAGGGUGAAUUAGCCCAAACUCAAAUUAACAAAGUUGUGGUCUAAAAUUUACUCUACAACUCCUAUAAAGGCUUCUGCUUCAAAACAGGUAUAUAAAUAAAGCAAAAGUUUGAGUUCUGUUAUCUUUAUUUAUAUAUGUUUCAUAUUUGAUAACUAUAUAUCUUUCAGUUUAGUUGUAGUAGUUUUUGACAUAUUAACUUUAUCUAUUUCCUAUAAUUUCAUAGAUAAUAUAUUGUAUAGAACUUAUUUGGUGGAACCAUGAUGAACCAAGCCAAGUUGGAGAUGACAGAAAACAGGAUCAGACGCUCAAUAUGUUGUCUAAAGUUUAGAUCAAUUAUUAAUAUAUGUUAAUGAAUUUAAAUAAAAAAACUCAAAACUACAAAGUUGUAGAUCUCGUCGAGAGCUACAAUUUUCAUAUAAAAAGCAUCUUCAUCCGAGUUCGUAUGAAAAAGUUAUGAUUUUUUAAAUUCAGACCUUGUCACACCACCCGGAGUGGCGUGACAAGAGUGUGUUGUCACGCCACCAGGAGUGGCGUGACAAGCUUUUCACAUGGAUUAUACGCUGGCAGACCCCUUCCGUGCUCUCCGACGUGGCACACCUUGUCACGCCAUUGCAUGUGGCGCGGCAGAGUGUAUUUGUCGCGCCACGCGGACCGGCGCGACCAAAAGGGUCAUAUCUGCAAAUAUGUGUUUGGGUGAGUUAUUUUUAAAAUAUUAGUUAAAAAAGAGUUAACAAAAAAAAUAUUCGUGAGCUUUGGCUUAAAUACAAAAAGAAGAAAAAGGAGAAAACGUCUAGAGCCAAGUUGUUCACCAUGUACUUCUUCCUAAGAGGAAGCGACUCGAAAAAAAUAAAUAUCAAAGAUCUGUAGAAGUCAUGUGAUAGCCUUACCACAUCCGAAAGCUGAUAAUGACCCUAUUGGAAAGAUCAAGCAAGAAGCUUAAUGACUACCAUUUACACCUUCUUGGUCAAACUGAAAUAAGUACGAUAGUCAUUCUUGUUGUCUGCUGUAUCCUGUAUUCUUUGAUUGAGGCAGUGGACUAGUACUAGUAGACAACAAAUACGCCAUGGGUUCGUAAAAAAAAAACAAAUACGCCAUGGACAUAACUCACUAGCUGCCUGCUGCGCUAUAUCCUGUAUGCUGGGCCUGCUGGCUCCAUGUUCCCUCUCUUUUUCUUUUUUUUUGAAAUAAACUGGCUCGAUGUUCUCAACCACCGGUUGUUGGCACGCAGCUAUCAGAAUCGAUAGGGCUGGGACUGGGGCCACAUCCAUCCGUGCAUCGUCUUCUCGACCUGAUCAUAUGGAUCAUCCAGCUAAUUAACACACCUUUCAGGUUUGCCCAACCGCAAAGCUAGCUGAGCGCACGUUCCAUGGAGCUGCUUUAAGUAUGGAUCAAGUAUUGUUCUAGAAGUAGUACACACAUUAUGCGAGGCAUUAAGCUAGGUUAAUUAUAUGGAGUAGGAGUGUGAUCGAUCAUAUUCAAUCGAGCUUGGUUGAUCUAAUAACUAUUGAGUUGUAUGCACCAAUCAAUUCAAUCCAAAAGUUUAAGCUGAUAGUGAAAGGUCCCUCAGGCCACACGUGGAAAUUGGAGUGGGCUACAAUUAUUUUAUUUAAUCACGCUCGUCAAGAUUCGAACUCGAGAUCUCAGAUUCUGAUACCAUAUUGAGUUGCAUGCACCAACCAGUUCAACUUGUCGACAUUGUCUUGGAAACAUUGUGGUUUUCAUUUUCUUUUUUGGAGUUUGACCAGUCAUUGACCGCAGCUAUUUAAUUUUAAGAAAUGCAAACGUGUGGGCGUCCCUUAACUAGGUAUUGUGGAAACGUGUGACCGUAGCUAUCCAAUGCCCUGAAUUACAGAGAUAUUAGCCACAAUUUUGCCAGAUUUGUGUUGGCGUUUAAUUUGAUGUCACGCAUCGCUGGCCACUGCCAAGGCUUGCCAUGGUUGAGUGAUGUGUAACUUAAUUAUUUGUGGAAGUUAAAUUACAGGCAUUUAUAUUGAAUUACCAUCUCAGAGAGGUUUCAUAUAGAGAAUUACUUUAUAGUAUUUUUAGGGUGUAAACUUAUAUUUCGAAUAAACUCCAUGAAUUUAGAUAUAGGGCUCACCAUUGGAAAGUGGAAACACGCUCUUAUAUUAUUGGGUUGAAUGCUGGUUCUGAAUAUUAAUUAUUCUAUUCUCGUCUAGUACAACAAAUAUUUAAUUUAUUCGUAGUAGUUAAAACCACCUCAGAAGAUGAUUAUUGUUCCUAACAACCUUUGCCAUCAUUGACAAGAAACUCGUCAGCCGCAUCACUCGAUCACUAGCAGUAGCUGCUUACUAUACUAGUGAAGCAGAGCAGAGCAGCAGGGGAAGCAGAGCAGCAGCGAUGCCGACGCUGCGGCGGCGCAACCCGGACGUGCACGUGAAGGCGCUGGAGGGCAUCGUCUCCGCCAACACCUUCUUCACGGUGGCCGUCUUCAUCGGCAUCACGGGCACCAUCACGCCCUCCGCCGCCAUCCCGCCCGCCUGCGUCGCCGGCGACGACAUCGCGCGCAACUUCUUCCUCUUCGAGAUCCUCUCCUUCGGCUUCUACCUCCUCUCCAGCCUAGUCGCGCAGGGGAUGAAGCUCGCCGUCACGCUCCUAGCCGCCGACGACUUCUACGGCGACGGCGACCAGAAGCCCCCGCCGUCCGACGACUGCGAGGAGAUGCCGGCGUGGCGCGCCGCGGGGCCGAGGGAGCGGAGGCGCGCCGUGCUCAGGUUCGCGCAGCCGAUGAUGCUGCUGGCGGCCGGGUGCUCCAUCAUGGGAACCUUCUUCCUGCUGCUGUCCAUGGUCGACGCCAUCCAGCUCAAAUUCGGCAUCGUCUCCUGCGGCACCCCGCUCGCCGUCGGCGCCACCUUCGGGCUCUCCGUGCUCGUCGUCGGUGGGCUCAUCUUCUACGGAUCCACCGUCGCCUACGCCCUCACGCACUACCUCCCCUGAAUACCGGCGCCUGCGCUCUGCUCUCUCCCUCUGGGCUAGUUUCUUUUACCUUUUCUUUAUUUUUUUUCUUUUACUUUUUACAUUACACAAGGAGUGAGUGAUUAUUAACAGUGGAUUCUGGAACUUUAUGCACAAUUGAGAAAGGAUUCCCAAACUAGGGAAAUACAUUUUUUUUGCAUUACAAGGAUAUCGUCUCUUCAAAGUAGAAAAGGUGGUCGGCAAACAUGAUUGUGCUGCCUUCUAUUACUGUACCAAACUACUCCAUAGUACUAGUUUAGUGAUGGGAUAGAGUAAGUUGCCAACUUUUUUUAAUGAUAACUUGGUAUGCCAUAUUUCCUGACUCUAAUUCCACUAUUGAUAAGAUACUUAUACAUAGAGCGUACUGAGAAAGAUCUAUUUGCAUGACCAUAUAAAGAUAUCUUUGCCCUUCUGCAAAUUUAUAUUUACUAGUCUUGAUACCAUAUUGUCAUUCUUGUGACCUACUAAAGCCCUCCUAAAGGAUAUAUUUAAAGGUGUGCAACUGUAGUAUAUUUUCGACGAGCAAUAUUAUAGAAGGACGGGUACUGUUAUGUCAACGUCUGGUUACCCAACUAAACGGUGCCAACGGAACGGUGUGAUACUGGUGUAUCAUUAUCUACUUUUAUGUAUUUAGCAAAAUUACUGAUAAAAGAUUAUAUUCAAUCAACUUGCAUUUUUCAUUAAGAAAAACACUAAAGUUUAGUCAUAUUUAGUUGGCCGGCUUGUUGAGACUCAGUUGUCAAAGAAUUUGAACAUUCCUAAAGAUUAUAUGUGUACCUUAUUGCAAAUUAACGCGAAUACUAAAGUUUAGUUUUAUCUAGCUGCAUCAUUGGAUACUACUCCAUAUAUAAGAACAACCCUGCUGUAGUGUGAAUUUUUGAGGCAGGGUUCCCAGAGCAUGCAUGGUUCAAUUUCUAUUUUUGAUGGUAUGGACUAAUAAACAUCAUAUCGAAAAAACUUCACUUGAUAACUGGACAUGAUUUCUCCAUCAAACCUUAUUUUUUUAGGGUGGACCUAAUUCUUUCUAAAUCUAUCCCUUUUUGGAUUUGUUCUAUAUAUACAUCGCUCUCUCUCGCACCCGUGAGUUAUUAUAUGUGUACCUUAUAAGCGUGCGCGCUCUCUCUCUCUCCAAAAUCAUUUUUUCACUCCGUUGGAGCCAAAAAAAAUGGAUUUCCCUAGUUGGGCCCUUUCUCCAUUGCACGAAUUUUACAUAUACAUGGAAGCUGCUCAAUUGCUGGAAUAUAGGUACACUAAAGCACAGGUCCCACUAUUCAGUGAAACGGCAUCGCCCUGCUAAAGGCCAAAGUCCACCUCAAACGGCUCAUUUCUCCAGUCAACAGUAGCGCACGCACGCCACCCUGCACUCUCACUCACUCCAGCUCCUUUGCUUCGACAUGGAGCCCAAAACCCUCGCCGCGGGGCGGCGACCAAGCGCAAGGAGAGAGCCGCACCCGCGGCGCUCUCCGCGUCCCGGCUGCCGAAGCGCCAGUCCCGGGAGCUCGCCGUCGUCGAGCCGCCGCUAGCUUGCACCGGGUAGCCGCCUGGCCGCCCGCAAAUCGCGGGGCAAGCCCGCGCGGAAGAAAGCGCCGCGCCGCGCCGUUGAUCCUCCGCGCCAGCAGGAGCAGGAGGAGGAGGCGCCGCCCCCUCCCCCGCUGCCACGGCCGUCGCUGGAGUAGGAGAUCGAGGCCGUCCUAUCCCGCGGCGUACACGUCCCCCACCUUCGCCGGUAAGCCCAUGAUUAGCCAGCACUAGCUUUUAAAUUUUAACUUGAUUCAGUUGCAAUCAAGUUUGCCAAAUUAGUUCGGUCCUUGUACUUGUACAUAUCAUCCUUACCUUUGCCGGUAAGCCUUGCCAAGAAAUAGUUGUCAAUGUGAUAGGAGCUACACUCCCAUGGCAGUUUUGCGUAUAGAUGCAAUAAUCAACAACCAUAUUAUUCAAUUUUUGUGUUCACUCUUUUCUGAAUGCACGCGUAUGCUCAUUUUCCAGAAUUUGAAUUAGGCUAAAAUUGACCUUUCGAAAUUUGGUACCAAUUACCAAAUAAACAUGUUUUGCAUGAUAUUGCAUAUGAGCAGCACCGUCAGUACAUUAAUGCAUUUCAUCAUACAGCCAGCCUAUGGAAAGUACAGUAUAGAAAAAAAAACACAACAAGACAUGUAUUGCAGUUCAUACCUAACUUUCGAGACCUGCUCUCUGUGCAUACUGGCACUUCCUUAGGCUGUUUGUGUGGUGAUGCCCAAUGCAUUGUCAUGUUCAAAUUGUUACUUGGAAUUAAUUGCACAGUGUCAUUUUUAGCCAAUUUUCAUCUAAACACUAAACGAUAGUCGUUGGGUAACCCCUCGAGUAGCGAGUAGGGCAUGUUCAACAACUUAUUAUUUUGGUUAAGAAAUGAUGUGUUCAUAGGCUCACAUAAUUUCUACGCAACUGGGAAUCAUACUUUACCUUGUGCAUUAUGUGCGUUCUACACUUGUACCCAGAAGGGGCAACCUUUAGCUUUGCAUGAGGCAGCUUAACCUAAUAUGUAGCGUGAUCAUUCCAAUUAUUAUGGUACAUCAUAUUCACCUAUUUGCUUCAACCCGUGCAUAUUUUAGAUUACUCUGACCAUGCUAAGUGGUACCCCCCAUCUUACUAUGGCGUGUUUACCCUGUCACAAAAUAUUAUUUAAUCAUCAUUCCUGAACUCUGAUAAUCUGUUAUUCAUUUGGGGUCUAAUGCUGAUUGAUCUAACCUCAAUUCUUUCCAGGUAGACUUUGAUUUGUGUUCUGAUUGCUACAAUGAAGGAAAGUUUGAUGAAGGCAUGUCAAAAGCUGAUUUCAUCCUUAUGGAAUAUGCAGAGAUUUCAGGCUCAGGUGGUUCUAACUGGACUGACCAGGAGACAUUGCUUCUUUUGGAAGCGUUAGAAAUUUUUAAAGGAAAAGAAUGGGAUAUGAUUGCUGAGCAUGUUGCUACAAAAACAAAAGAACAGUGCAUGCUAUACUUUCUCCAAAUGCCAAUUUUGGACUCCUUUCUAGAGGGUGAAGAUUUCAAUGAAACACCUCAGAAGAUCAUACAAAAGGAGUCAGCAGAAACUGGCACUUUUGAUGUAUCUAAGGAAAUGGAUGUAGAUGACAAUGCAAAAGGAAAAGAGAGCACUGAUGAAAAACUUUCAAGAAAGCAAAUGCUAGUUCUUCAGAAACAGAAACAAAAUUAGCUCACUUUGUUUCUGCUAAAGAGGGUACCAUGAAUCCUGGUGAUAAUGAUCUAGUUGCAUCUUCCAUUGUUGAUGAAUCAAACAAAUCUUCAUUGAUGGAUCAUGAAAAUAAGAAAAAUUCAGCUGAUGUUGAUGUCUCUGGGGAACACGCAUCCAACUUUGUUAUUGAUGUCCUGAGAUCUACUUUUGAAGCAGUUGGUCACUUUCUGUAUAAUGAAGACUUGGGUUCAUUUUUCUGAAGCAGGAAAUCCUGUUAUGGCACUAGUGAGUAGACAUUUCUGCAUUUAUUAAUCUUUUGUUACUUACAUAACAAGAGUUUUUUUUCUCAAAACACAGCAGAGCUGCGUAUCAAUAUAUUAUUAAGAAGAAAGGGUUGAGAAACCCAAGGUACAGCCAGGUUUUUUAAGGAAAAAACCUGAGCAGAAAAAACCAUCAACUUACAUACAUAGGACUAAUCACCUGUUACCAAGGGGAAACCUGUUACAUAACAAGAGUGCUCUUUGAUGUUUGGAUAAAUAACCUGCAGGCUGCAUUUUUGGCUUCUCUUGUGGAAUUUGAUGAUGCUGUUACUUCAUGUUGUAAUUCACUGAGAGCUAUAUCAGAAAUAUCUCCUGCUUUCGAAUUGGCAACUGGGCACUGUUUUAUUCUUCCAGAUCCACUGAGUAACCACGAAGAUCCCACUUGCAAUUUCAGGUAGCGUAGUUCAUUAAGACUCAUGUUUAGCAUCGAUUUGCAAUUGCCAAAUUUUACUGAUAAAAAUUGGAACUUGUGGCUCUUGCGCAGGCGAUGAGUGCCAAGGAGAGGUGCUCACAUUGCUCAAAAUGUGAAGAAAAUGCUUUAGCUCUGGAAAAGGAGAAUGCUACAUUCACCUCACAGAAAGAUCAACUAGAAUUAUCUAACAUAAAGGAAUCAUUUGUUGAAGAUCCCCAAGCGGAGGUCAUAUCCAAUAGCACAAAGGAUUCUGAUAAUCAAACUGCUAUUGUGGAGAGUAGUGUUGCAUCUGAUAAGAUGAGAGAUGGUCUAAUACCAUUCCAUGUUCUGCUACUUCAAAUAAUACAAACGAACCUAGUUCCAUAGCUUCCCAAGAAGCCAGGGCAGCAAGUACAAAGGACACAACCAACCCUGAACGAGUAGAAGGGGACAAACCAAGUUCUAAGGAUUUACCGGAUGAUGAGUCACCUUCACAUGGAAAGGUAGAGCUAGAGGAGAUUGAACAUGCACCUGCUGCCUCAUCUAGCAUGCAACAACACGAGUCCAACCAAACUGGAAAUGGAAACACUGAAGGUACUUCAUUCGACCUUUGUAAUUAUUGUUUACAUUGCACACCAUUGAGGAAUGUGUCUCAGUCCCAUGGUUUUGAACUCCUGCAAGUGGGGCUAUUGACCGGUCAUCAAAUUCCUGGCCCCAACCAGGAUUAAGAAACUGGCGAGCUUCAAUUGUUUUAUGGAAAGCUGUGGUUAUCCAAAAUAUUGGAUAAAAAACAACAAUUUCAAAAUAAGAUAAUUUUAUUGCAGCUGGUGCUUAUUUACUCCCCCUAUUUCGUUAAUAGGCAGCCCACUCCUAUAGACAGUCUCCAGAAACUAAAUUUGGCAAUUGAUGAUGUUUGUGAUAGAUUACUAGUGACUAUAACUUACUGUCAUGUGGAAGUAACCCAUUUAAAUCGCAGAUGUAAUGGGAUCUUGUGUGUGUGAGAGAGAGAGAGAAUUAACAUAUCAAAGUUGCAUAACUGAUGACUGUGAAACAAGUAAUGGUAAUUAGGUGAACAUGGCUGCCUGCCUAGGCUAGCUCACCGCUCCGUGUUAGUACAGGGGGAAUCCCAACAAUUACAAGAGUUUGAUUACAACUUGUGAUACAAGACAGAUGGUUUAAACCUUCUCUAUCUAUACAAGAUCUAUCUGUAGCUCGAGGAUUAACCAACACAUCUAUGUAUCCAAUGUCAUCGCAUUCAUAUGAUGUGUUAACACAAGACUCUUUACGAGGAAUAUACCUAUCCUUUAACAGCCUCCCUCAAUCUUAACCAGGCUUGCUUCUGAGGUUUAGAUUGUCUCUGAAUUUCUCAAACUCUCCAGAUGAAACUGCCUUGGUGAAACCACCGGCCAGCUGGUCUUUAGACAAAAUAAAGCGAAUCUCCAACUGCUUCCUUGCUACCCUUUCUCUUACAAAGUGAAAAUCAAUCUCAAUAUGUUUAGCACGUGCAUGAAAAUAGGAUUAGCUGAUAAAUAUGUUGCACCAAGAUUGUCACACCAUAGACAAGGAGGUUCCUUUAAUUUCACACCUAACUCGGACAGUAACGCUUCUACCCAAAUAGUCUCAGCUAUUGCAUUAGACAAUGACUUAUAUUCUACUUCAUUGCUUGAUCUAGACACAAUUGCGUGUUUCCUAGCGCUCCAUGAGAUUAAAUUUGGACCAAAAUAAACAACAAAUCCACUAGUAGAUCUUCUAUCAUCAAUGCUACCAGCCCAAUCUGCAUCAAAAAAAGCACUUAUCAAAGUAGAAGAUGACUUACGUAUCUCAAGCCCAAUAUUGAUUGUCCCUUUCACAUACCUCAAAAUUCUUUUAACAGCCGAUCGGUGAGUAGUUGUGGGAGCAUGCAGAAAUUGACACACUUUGUUAACAGCAAAAGCUAAAUCAGGACGCGUGAGAGUUAAAUAUUUCAAGGCCCCAACAAUACUACGAUAUCUUGUACCAUCUUCUAAUGACAAUAGAGUACCAUCUUGACAAGAUAAUUUUUCCGAGACUCCUAAGGGAGUGAAAGAAGACUUACAAUUUGUCAUACCAACUCUCUUCAAAACAUCUGACACAUACUUUGUUUGUGACAACAUAACGCCUCCCUGAGUUGGUUUGACUUCAAUCCCAAGAAAAUAAUUCAGAUUUCCUAGAUCUUUGAGAGCAAAAUCUGCUCAUAGAUCUUUAAGUAAAGCUGAAAUUGCAUCCAUAGAUAACCCUGUUACUAUGAUAUCAUCAACAUAUAUGAGCAUAAAUAUGGUUGUGUUCGACCUGAAGUAAAUAAAUAGUGAUGCAUCAGAUUUGGACGCUCUAAACCCAAGAUCAAGCAACUUUCAACUCAACCUUGAAUACCAGGUCCUUAGAGCUUGCUUCAACCCAUAAAUAGCUUUAUCCAACUUACACACAUAAUUUGGAAAUUUUGCAUCCUCAAAGUCUAGAGGUUGUCUCAUGUAAACCUCUUCCUCAAGAACACCAUGGAGAAAUGCAUUUUGUACAUCUAACUGCCUCAAACACCAGCCUCUUGAGACUGCUAUAGUUAGUACAAGUCGAACAGUAGCAAUUUUCACAACAGGCCUGAAUGUGUCUUCAUAAUCAAUACCAUAUAUUUGUUUGAAUCCCUUAGCCACCAAUCUUGCUUUAUAACGAUCUAUACUCCCAUUAGCUUUUCACUUUAAUUUAUACACCUAUUUGCAAUCAAUAAGAUUGUUACCUUUGGAGGGAGGAACCAAGUGCCAAGUCUUGUUUUUAUUAUGAAGCGUCGUAAGCUCCUCUUCCAUUGCUUUUGUCCACCCGUGAUCACCAAGUGCUUCCUGUAGAGUAUGCGAUUCUCCUGUAGAAGAAAAGAAACCAUAUCUAACAGUCCCAUCAGUAUACUAUUUUUGUUUAACAAUGCCACUUUGAGAUCUUGUCCUAGGUCGAGGAGAAUUUGCUGUUGAAUCAGCAGAGUUCGGAACUGUAGAGUUUGGAGCCGUAGAAGAUCCAUGAAAGGAUAUAGAAUGUUGACUAGAGGGGGGUGAAUAGUCGAACCUGAAAUUUUUUACAACUUCUAACUAUUUUAUCAGCGACUUCCAGAGUUUUCAGAGAUUGUUCCGGAAAUUCCGCAACUUACGAAAUUUUUGGAGAAACAAGGAUUUGAACUACAACCUUAUGAAAUACUUGCUAAAAUGUAAAUCGUUGAAUAUAGGUUAAGCAACAGGUUAUUCUAGGCCGUUGGGACAAGAUAGAACAGCCGGAAAUGUGCUAGGAAUGUAGAUCGAGCAUGAAAUCUAGAAAUAUGUUCUAUGCUUGAAUAUGAACGAAAUUAAUAACAACAACCACAAGAGACACAAGGAUUUGUUUUCCAGAGUUCAGCUUCACACCUUGAAGCCUACAUCUCCGUUGAGAACCCACGAAGGGUGGGCCUUUCACUCCUAAACCACUUUCCUCCCUCUAGCGACCACAAAGAUCAAGCUAGAGUCACUUACUCAAUCGUCAGGGUAAUACAAACUUCCCGUGGGCAGCCACAAUCGUUGGAUGCUCUACAGGCAACACCUAGCCAGCUAGGAGCUUGAAGCUCCAAGAGUAACAAACGUGAAACCACCGGCUUGACAGAACAAGGUGUUCAAGAGAUGGGAAAUCAGCUCACUAGCACUCUCCCUUGCUCUCCCUUGAAUCCCUUCUUAAAUCCCCCACCAAAUCUUCACCUAAAGGUCAGGAGGGGAGUAAAGAGGGGCUUUGAAUGUUUCUGAACAGCUCAAGUCAGUGUUAUGUCGAGAGAGUGACUGUGGGAGGGGGUGAGGGGGUAUUUAUACCCCUUCACCCCGAAACUAGCUAUUGGGAGUUAAGUUCUGGAAUUUUCCGGAAACUCCGGAACUCCCGGAUUCUUCCGAAACAAUUUUUGGAAAUCUCUAGACUUCCGGAAUUUUUUCGAAAACUCUGCAAACUCCAGAAUAUUCUAGAAGAUUUUCCGGAAAAUUCCAGAGCUCUCUAGUUAGAACCAAUCUAAGUAUCCCCAUGUGAUGUGCAGGUGCAAAGGUGUGUCUCAUAGGUUUUUUAGGUCAUCUUGAGCACCUUUUUCAAUGUAAAGACUAGAGAUUACGCAUCCCUCUUAAUAGUGCGGCAUUCCUAGACUCAAAUUCAAAUCAAAAAUAAUUUUAGCCUUCAAGGUAUGCCUUGUAUCUAUUCAUUUCCUUUUGAGGGGUCAAUCACAAGUGCUCCAUGUCUAUCAUUCCUUUUAAACCUUCUUAUGCACUUGAAAACUUCAUUAGACACUUAAGCUUGCAUCAUUAAUUCACCAAAACCCACUUAAGGAGCCAAGAUACUCUUCAAUCCGAGAGAGAAAAUCUCCACCGAAGCCGAGAUGCCCUGUCCUAGCACGGGCGCGGCGAUGGCCCCUGCCUGUCCUAGCGUGCCACGCGGCUGGGCGCUAGACUCAUCGCGGGGCGCGGGUGGAGACAUGGCGGCACGCGGCGUGCUCGGGCUAGCGAGUGGAGACCGAACGCCAUGCAGCAUCGACUAUCUAGCUAGCGGGAUCGCUCGGGCGGAUGAGGAAGGCAUAGGCGCUAGCGGAUCCACCUAGAAAUCAGGGUUCAUAGGCACUUGCGGAACAUCGUCAUUUUCAGAGACAGCCAGGUCUCUGUUAUUGCAUGGAAAGCUUCCUAUUUCUUGCCUGUUUUGGGUGAUCCAAGCAUCAUUUUGCGCCAAAUUUUCUCCAGAUUGCUCUUGCACAUGUGACACAACACUAGAACCAAGAUUAUGAUCAUCAGUAGUAUUAGCAUUACAACUUACAUCCUCAGAACUAUUAUUCAAAAGAUAAUCCAGUAAAAGAAGAAUUUCUUGAUGAAGGCGAGCACCAACGUUUUCAUGGAGAGUUUCAAAAGGAAAAAUAGAUUCAUCAAAGAUUACAUCAUGGGAGAUAUACACAUGACCAAUUGGAAUAUUAAGACACUUGAAUCCUUUGUGAAUAGAGCUAUAACCAACGAAGGCACAUCUUUUUCAGCGAAAGGCAAGUUUUCUUGUGUUGAAGGGCCUAAGAUUUAGCCAACAUGCACACCCAAAGACACGAAGAGAGGCAUAGUUGGUUUUUUCUUGAAGAAGAAGCUCUACUGGCAUGUGAUAAUUGAUGACUUUGCUAGGAAAAAGAUUAAUUAAAUAAGUAGCGGUUAGGAAAACUUCAUCCCAAAAUUUUAAGGGCAUUGAUGCGUUUGCAAGAAGAGCAAGCCCAACCUCUAUUAUAUGCCUAUGUUUUCUUUCUGCAGAACCAUUUUGUUGAUGAGCAUGAGGACAUUAAACUCGAUGGGAGAUGCCAAUUUUCUGGAAAAAGGAAUGCAACCCCUCAUACUCUCCUCCCCAAUCUGUUUGCAUGGAUAAAAUUUUCCUAUCAAACUUGUGCUCAACAAGUUUUGGAAAUUAUGAAAGACUUAGAAAACUUCAGACUUCUUUCGAAGCAAAUAGAUCCAUGUAUAUUUACUAUAGUCAUCGAUGAAGCUCACAUAGUAUGUAUGUCUACCAACAGAUUCUAGAGCUGGACCCCAUACGUUAGAGUGAAUCAAUUGGAGAGGAAAAGUAGACACAUUAUUUGAAUUUGCAUAAGGUAAUUCAUGGCUCUUGGCUCUUUGGCAAGGAUCACAAACUGAGUUACUACUAGUAUCAUUUAGAAAAGAUAAUUUAUUAUUCUUUAGAACAUCCUAACAAUAGGAAAAGAUGGAUGACCCAAACGACUACACCACCUAUACACGGAUGGCUUAUUGACUCCAAACUGUACUUUAUUUGUGCUUGCUUCAGAAGAGCUUGAAACUAGGGGAUAAAGGCCUCCUUCACACCUGCCUUGAUGAAGAAUUUUCUUUGUUGCUCGGUCCUUCAUGAUGAAAAGAUUUGGAUGAAAUUCAAAGAAUAUAUUAUUAUCAAAGGCAAGACGAUGAACUGAAGCAAGACUUUUAUGAGCGCUAGGAACAUGCAAUAUAUUUUUUAAUAAAAGGUUGCGAAUUGGGGUAUGUAAAGUUAAAUGACCAAUACUUCUGAUUUUCAUACCUGAACCAUUCGUUGUGUGGACUUGAUCAUGGCCGCCAUACUAGUCAUGUACCAUCAUCUUGUCCAAUUCACUAGUAAUAUGAUCAGUCGCACCGCUGUCAACACCAUAGGCGGUUGAGCUUGAUUUGUUGUUGUUCAAUGGCUGGAAAUCUUCUUCAAAUCUGUGCCAACAUUCAAGAGCGGUGUGAUUGGUCCUACUACAGAUCUGGCACUGGGGCCUGCUUGACUGUCCUCUAGAUUUGAAGUUGUUGUUGGAGGAGUUGCCGCACCCUCCAGAGCUGCGGCCGCCUCACCCUCGCCCGACUUCCACUAGAUCCACCAUUGCAAUGAGGGUUGAAGCCUCCCUGACCUCUAGAAGCUGAAUUUGCUGAGGAUUGGUAGUGACUUGCUGAACGCUGAUCAAACACGUCCAGGCGCAUCUCAUAUGCCAUGACUUGAGCAUAAAGGUCAUUGAUAGAGAUGGGAUCUGACCGGCCCAAGACAGAGGAGACAAUGGGAUUGUAUUCAAAAUCAAGACCAUUCAAAAUAAAGGAUAUCGUCUCAUGAUUGUAAAUAGACUUCGCUGCAGCAGCAAUUUCAUCUCCUAUGGCCUUCAUCUUGUUGAAGUACGUCGCGAUGUUCAUGCUUCCCUUCUUGAGGCUUGCAAGUUGCAUCUGUAGAUUGGUUACUCUCGUGCAUGUGAUUCUGCCGAGUACAUGUCUUCCAAUGCCGCCCAAACUUCGGAUGAUGAUGUCAACGUAGCUACCUAGGCAAACACUAUGGACAACAGGGAGUUGACGAGAUGGCCGAGUACCUGCUAGUCUUGCGCUAGCCAACUCUCAUACGCUGCGUUGGAGAUGUCGUUCUUCUUGUCAUCUUGGAUUGUUUUUGUUGGUGCCGGAAUUGAGCCGUCAAGGAUGCCAAGGAGGCGAGCACCCGUGAUCGGCGGCAACACCUGGGCCUUCCAAAGAAUGAAGUUCUCUCGCGUGAGCUUCUCGGAGACGGGUGACCCAAGAGCACUUGACGACGACGACGAGGAACUGGAGGCCAUGACAGUAGAUGUAUUUUGAGGAAGUGGCUCUGAUUACCAUGAAAGAAGUAAUGGUGAUUAGGUGAACGUGGCUGCCUGCCUAGGCUAGCGCACAACUCCGCGUUAAUAUAGGAGGAAUUCCCAAUAGAUUAGAAGAGUUUGAUUACAACUUGUGAUACAAGACACAUAUGGUUUAAACCUUCUCUAUCUAUACAAGAUCUAUCUGUAGCUCGAGGUUUAACCAACGCUUCUAUGUAUUUAAUGUCAUCACGUUCAUUUGACAUGUUAACACAUGACUCUUUACAAGAAAUAUACCUAUUUUUAACAGACUGAUCAUCAAUACUUACAAAGUUUAAUUCACGUAUUGCAUGAGGUUCCUAUAUCAUGUAGCAUAGGGAGUCAUUGGCAUUUCAGUUAUUAAAUAUUAUAUGGAAAGUGACUUGUAAAUGCAGCUUAGCUUUUAUAUCAUUUCCCUAUGGUAGACUGUUUCCAAAAUAGUUUCUGUGACGUAGGAAUAAUUUGGCUCGUAUAUGAUCACAGAACCUAAUAGCAACAAAAACAUCAUUGCUGCUACUGCUGCUGCUGAUCCCGUAAUAAGGCUACCUGCCGUUUCAGCAGCUGCAGUGAAGGCUAUGUUCCUCGAUCGCGGAGCAGGAGGAAGAUCAUCUUCGGCAACUAGCUAGCUGCACUUGUGAUCGAAAAACAAGUAACUCAUGUGGCAAUGAUUCUAUACCGUUUACGUUACCAACAAAGUUUCAGAUUCCAAUGUCACCUUUUGUUUUUGACUAGGCGUUUGUGCUAGGAAAUUUCAGAAAAUACUUAUACCUGUUCUUUGUUUGUUUAACAUUGUGCGCUUUGGCUCACUGACGUCCUUUCUCAUGCAGUUUAAGAAAAUGGAAGCUAAGAUGUCGUUUCUUUCUGAUGUUGAAAAUCUGGUCUUACGAUCGACAGAAUUGACAGAGAAGAUGCGGAAGAAGCUUAUGGUGGAGCGGAGCGUGAUAAUCGCUUCUCUAAUGGCUGCCGUGGCAUCCAGAACAAACCAGCAUGGGGCUCCUGGGACUACUGUCUCUGCCGGUAGCCCAGGUUCAGCAGCUGAGGCGCCCUUGAAGCCUAGCUGCUGUGCUGACCCACUGAUCCAACUUCUAGAAGUAUAUAAAAUGAUGCAGGGCUGGCUUUUGUUGUCGCGCUAAUUUGCCUGGUAAAAAUCCAGUGUUAGUGUUACUGCGUCCAGGGUAACUUAGGGGUGUUUGAUACUACCCGCUAAAGUUUAGCACCUGUCACUAACCCUGCAAAUAGUUUGGGCUGAAAUAACUUUAACAGUUUGGAUUUUACUUUGGGCUUCCUUAGCUUGGGUGCUAAUGGGCCAACACUGCUAACAAAUUCACUUGGUUUGGGCUCCACCUCCCUAGCAGUUUGGUGUGGUGUGGUGAUGAAUAGUUAUUAUUGGAGUUCUAAUGGGUCGUACCCGUGGGUUCCAACUGUUAAGAAUCCGCCGGCCUAUCCUACCACCUCCCGACCUCCGCCUGUUCUGUUCCGUUGUGUUCUCCGCCUCACUGACUCCCACCGGCCACCGCCGCCACCUCCGGUCCUCCGCCUCGCCUCCCUCCCUCCCCCUCCCGAGAUCCCGCCGCCACCUCCGGUUCUCUGACUCGCCUCCCUCCCUCCCCAUCCCAAGAUCCCGCCGCCACCACCUCUGCCUCGCCUCCCUCCAUCCCCCUCUCGAGAUCCCGCCGCCAUCACCUCCGCCUCGCCUCCCUCCCUCCCCCUCCCACUCCGCCACCUCCGCCUCACCCAUAACAGCACCAGGCCACGCCUCCCACCCAACCUCGGAAAGAUCCGGCGGCGGCGAUGGCGGCGGCGGUUCCCUCCUCCUUUCCUCUAGCUCUCAAGAUGCAGCAGUGAAGGCUCCUUUCUAUCGUCUGCGAGAUAUCCUCGGCAAGCCUCUCUACUCCGUGCUCCUUCCUGAAUCGCGUGGUAUGUUCCCCUUUUCUGAUGAACAAGUUCUUGUCUUCCUUAAUACGGGUCAAAAGGAAGUUCUAUAAUUGUUGUAUAAUUGUUCAAGUUCUAUAACUAAAGGAACUCUUUCGAGCAACAAGGACAAUACAAGAAGCAAGACUUUUUCAAACAUACUGGUUCGUGCAGACAGAGACAAGAAGAAUUGAGGUGGAGAAGUUAAUUCGUUUGGUACUUUCUUCAGCUAUUCUUGUUUAAUUCAUCAUUGUUUCCAUUCUUUCCUGUGUAAAGGAAGCCUUAGUUUAUACCCACUUCUGUGAUGGAAAACCAGCAUGGAUGUAUUAAUGAUAAGCACAUAUUUUGAGUUUAUACCCACCAUCUACCACUGAACCUGGAGCACCAUUACUCAGAUGCCAAACUGGUACAUCAUAAGCACUCUACUACUGUAUGAUUUAUUCAACACAACUGGGAAAGCACAUCAUCAUAACUCAUGUUAAUCCUAGAAGCCGAUAAAUGUUUACUUGUAUGGUGAUGGAUGAUUAAAAUAAAAUCUGGUAGCAGUUAUAUGUUGCAUACAAUAGAGUUCGUGGGGGAAGACCAUGGUAGCAACAGUAAGAAGGGCAGAGUCUGAUCCCUUGACCCCUUCGAAUUGCAUAGUAUCACAACAACUUCCGGUUUCAGGUUUGCAUAAUUUGAACUAUCGUCUGCUUCCCUGACAGGCAUUGCACAGUUCAGUUUGUCUUAGUUGGAGGCUGCUACAAACGACUUCUCAGAAGAUAGUUAUGAUAAAAGAGGCUACUACAAGGUACUCCCUUGCUUCGUUUGCUAAUUUUGUGUUGGAUUUUCGGACAAUCAUAUAAAGUCUUGUUGUCAAUUUGUCAUUGUGAGUUGCUGUUGACAUUGCUUCCUGUUUCUUGACAAGUGAUACUGUCAUUUUUUCCACAAUAAAGAGAUGGAGUAUAAAAUGUAAACAUACAAUUUCUGUUUGCUUGACAAGUGAUACUGUCAUUUCUAGUUCCAUGUUGGUGUUACAGUGAAAGUUAAGUUUCUAGGCUGUUUAAAUAGAACAUGCUCUGUUUAAAUAGAACUGUCACUUAAGUUCUGAUAAGCCAUAAAAUUGUUAGGGAUUCUUCAACAUGUCUAUUAACACAUCGGAAAGCUCUGAUGACUCUAAUUCAACUCAAACACGUGCAAAAAGGUCCAAGGUGUGGGAACAUUUUGAGCAGAAUCUUGUGGAAGUGGAUAAUUGUUUUAGAGCUGUUUGCAAGUAUUGUCGAAUGCAGUUAAGCACCAAAUCUGGAACUAGUAGCCUUAGAACCCACAUUUCUCAAUAUUGUCAUGCAAUUGGGGAAGCCGAGAGGAACAGAUUCAUAGCAACCUUAAAGAAGCCCAUAGAGAACUUUGUGUUUGACCCUCAGUUUAGUCAUGAGCGUAUGAUAGAGUUUGUCAUACAUGCUGAAAUCCCAUUUAACAAGUUUGAGGAUCCAUACUUCAAACCAUGGGUUCAGUCCAUGCAGCCAACUCUAAGUGUUGUGGGACGGCAAACUGUUCACAAUGAUUGUCUAAAGAAGUACCAGAGAAUGAAGCAAGAUAUUCAGAAUGAACUUGAAAGCCUAGACUCCCAUGUGUGCUUGACAUCGGAUUUGUGGACAUCAAUUCAAAACUUAGGCUACAUGGUUGUAACAGCUCACUAUAUCACUCCUGACUUCAAGAUCAAGAAGAAGAUAAUAAGUUUCAAAGAGGUCAAAUAUCCACACUCAGGGUUUGCUAUCGAAGAAGCACUUGUCAGCUGCUUGACUGAGUGGGGCAUACGAAACAAAUUGUUUACUCUCACAGUGGACAAUGCUAGUAACAACAACACUGCAUGUGACCUGUUGGUAGAUACUCACAAGUAUGAGUUGAUGCUUGAGGGUGCACAUUUGCAUGUGAGAUGUUGUGCGCAUAUUCUGAAUAUUUUGGUUCAAGAUGGGAUGAAAAUUAUUCAUGAGGGGAUAAAGAAGAUUCGGGAGCUCUUGAAGUACAUUGUCUCUUCUCCCUCAAGAAUGCAAGCUUUUAAUGAAAUUGCAGUGGUGAAUGGUCUUCCAACAAAACAUGGUAUUGCUCUUGACAUACCCAACCGUUGGAAUUCCACCUUCAAGAUGGUUGCAGAAGCAAUCAAGUACAAGACCGUCCUGAAUAGCUAUGCAAAUCAACAUGUAGAAAUUCCUCCAAAUGAACAAGAAUGGAGCACAGCUGAUUCAAUCUGUAAGUUUCUUAAAACUUUUGAAGAGGCUACAAAAGCAAUAUCGGCUCAUAGGAAACCAACUUCAUACAUGUUCUUACCUUUAAUUGUUUCAAUUCGAGAUGCCUUGGAUAACCCUUCUUGGCAGACAAGUGUGGCACUACAAGACUUGGCUACAGGCAUGAGUAUCAAGUUUGAAAAGUAUUGGGGUAGAGAUUUUGAUGAGUCAAACCAGCCUAUUGCUCGCAGAAAUAAAAAGGAUUAUGAUGUCAACCUUGGAAUUGUUAUUGCAACAAUGUUAGAUCCGAGGGGAAAAGCAGAAUAUGCAGAGUUCUUCUACCAGAAGAUUUGUAGCAAUAUAGAUCAGAUUGAUUCAAGUGUUGAUGCUGCUCUAGUUUGGAUGAAAAAAUACUUCCUGGAGUAUGAGCAACGCUUGAGGAGAGUUAGUGCAUACUCUGUUACAUAUGCAAGUGAGGGCAGCAUUUGUGUGGGCUCACCGGUGCUUGCGAAAAGGCAGCUAGGAUCAGAAUUUACAAACUUCAAGUCAAGUCGGAGAAAGACUCGUCCACCAAAAUCUGAAUUUGACAUCUACUUUGAAGAAGAUUGUGUGGAAGACAUUGAAAACUUUGACAUUUUGGCUUGGUGGAAGGCACAUGCUGAGAAGUUCCCGAUCUUAUCAGUUAUGGCACGUGAUUUCCUCGCCAUUCCUCUUAGUACCAUUUCUUCCGAAUCAGCCUUUAGUCUUGGAGAUAGGAUUCUUGGGGAGUCAAGAAGCUCACUAACUCCAGAGAUGUUAGAAGCCCUUGUGUGUGGGAAAGACUAGUUAUUCAAGGAAAAAGAUGCAGACAAUGAAGGUAUACCCUCAUUCUGUUUUGGCAUGUGUGCAUAUUUCCAUGUUCAUUUACUUACUAUAUGCUCAUUAUAUUGCAGGUCAACAAAUUAGUGAAGAUCAGACUAGUGAAAUGGUCACCUUUGUCACUCCAUCAGGUUUUACACAACACAUACAUCCUAUUUUAAACAUCCUUUAUUUCUGUUUUAACAUGCUUUAUUUCUGUUUAAACACACACUAAAUGGAUGGACUCAUAUAUGUUCUUUUUUUCACUGUUUGCUACUACAUUUAAUAGUUUGAGUGUUUUUUUUAGUUGCUAAGUAUCAGUUGAUCUAUAUUUGCAUCUUGAUGUGCUGUAGGUCUCGUGUAGCUAAAAAGCCUGGAGCUUUCAGACACUGAAGUUGGGAGCAAUGAACUUCGACAUCUCUCAGGUUUGUUUAUGCUAGCAGUAUCAUAGGUUUGAGUUCACUGAAGUCUCUUAAUCUUGACAAUCGAUGCUCUGGUAAAUUGAGUUCACCGGUCUAUUUGAGUCUUCUUUUUUUUCUUAAAUAAAAAAGGAACAAGCAGGAGUUCUGCUGUUCAUAUAUUAAUAAAGAAGAGGAGCAAAGGUCUAUUUAAGUCUUGAAUAGUUGAAUGCAUAUUACUAGUAUGUUGAAUUUAAGAGGAGAUCCAUGUUUACUCGAAAUAGUAGAUAUUACUGCUGAUUCUGGCUUAUAUUGCAAUUCACCCUGUGAGUUGGAUGAGAACUUGGUCUAUGCAGCUAAUGGAGAGCUCAUCAGGGUGAUGCUUAUUGCUUAUUCUGGUUUUAAGUUAGCUGUUUCUAGUGUCUUGCAGAGGGGAGAGCAAGAUGGUUGUAACAUUUUUUAUCUUUUGGUCCCUGUACCAUUGUUUGCGUGUCUGUUUAAGAGCUAAUAUAGAGAUUGCUGUUAGGCAUGUUGCCAGUUUACAUUUUGAUCUCAUUUGCUUUGCCUGAUGUCAUAUGUCCUGCUUAAUUACUUGGUCUCAUUUUGAUCUGUGUUCCUCUCCAGUUUGGCCGCGCUCUGCUGCUGCUGCGUGCUGGAGGAAUGCUGUGGCCUCUUCUGAGAUUUUAACUCUUAGCUACUUCUAGUCUUGGUACUUGGCAUUCAGUCCCAAGCAAUUGAUGCUAGCAUUAUGGAGCAUCGUCUGAGUAUAGAACCAGGCAGUAUUGUGUCUUCGUCUAUGCUUUGUAAUAAAGGCUUUUAUGCAUCCUUUUGGAUUGGACGUCAGGUUUUUGGAAGAACAUCCUGGCUUGCUGUGGAGUGUAGCACCAGCACCCGAUCAGAGAACAAGCGUGAACAGCCUGUAUAUAUAUGUAACAUAGGUCUUUGCAACUUGUUUGACUACUAGUAGCUAUCUAAUGGGUUCUUAUUGGGUUGUAACCAUAUUUGGCAAGCAGUUUGUAUAACUUAUGCACUGAAAAGUUUGGGGUGGUAUGGUGUGUGAUGGUGGAAGUUUGAUUUGGAGUGGGUUAAAUUUAUAUAUUUGUGAGAAUGGGUUGGUGGGGUUACAGUUUGGGUUCCAACCCAAUUAACAGGUUGACCUGUCACGUCGGAUGUUUGGAUACUAAGUAGAAGUAUUAAAAAUAGACUAAUUACAAAACUAAUUGCAUAGAUGGAGUCUAAUUCGCGAGACGAAUCUAUUAAGCCUUAUUAGUCAAUGAUUUGACAACGUGGUGCUACAGUAACCAUUUGCUAAUGAUGGAUUAAUUAGGCUUAAUAGAUUCGUCUUGUGAAUUAGCCCAAGGGUUCUGCAAUUAGUUUUAUAAUUAGCUCAUGUUUAAUCCUCCUAAUUAGCAUCCGAACAUCCAAUAUGACACUGCUAAAGUUUAACAUCUAGUAUUCAAACACUCUCUUAAUUUUAGGGUCACGCUAAGGGUGCGGUUAAAACCAAGACCCUGUACAUAGCUUGUUACCAUGCUAUGUUUAACUGAAUUUAUGUAGGAAUGUAAUCUCACCCGUACGGUAAGUAUUACACUGGUUGAAGAUAUAGGAUUCGAUGCUCGUGUGGACUGCGCUGCAUAGAUGCUCACAGUACACUUUCAGCAGUAUGUUGGCUUGUUCUUUCAUCCUAUCCUUCUAAUUCAUAGGGGAGAAUACAUCUGGCACCACUGGUAAAGCAUUAAAAUCCAUAAAGAUGGCAUCGAUAAAAACGGGUUCUAGGAAACGGCACUGAAGAUUUGGUUCAAACACUGCCAUCAUCCUCCUCGAUCUCUAUUUUCAUUAUUGUUCAACGCAACACAGCUUUUACUUGUACGAAAUGGCCCCACUUUUAAGUAUGCCCACGUGUUGGCCAGGGCCGUUUUAUUCCAAGUCCUUUACUUGAAAUGCCGGAAUUCCGUGGUGUUUAGAAAAUUCCGUGCUAGUACCGUUUUGCUUCAAUCUCAAAUUUUUGUCACGUCUUUUUUCAAAAAAAAA
rnacentral:lncRNA from 1 species